AUGAAUCCAGGAACAAACAACUUGAACAAAAACUCACGGAGGAAGGGGAACAGUUGCGAGGAGGAAGAUGACCAAUGGUGGGCUGACGCUGGAAGCAGGUGCGGCGGAAUAAUGGAGGACGAUGACGCGGGAGCAGUUUCUGGUGUUAAUGGUUGCGAAUGUCCGGUGCUGCGUGUUGAUGUAGGUUUUACGAUGUUCUGA